UACAGAGGUCCCAAGCGUUGUUCGGAUUCACUGGGCGUAAAGGGUGCGUAGGUGGCCAGGUAAGUCUGAUGUGAAAUCUCGGAGCUCAACUCCGAAACUGCAUUGGAUACUAUCUGGCUGGAGGGUCGGAGGGGGGACUGGAAUUCCAGGUGUAGCGGUGAAAUGCGUAGAUAUCGGGAGGAACACCUGUGGCGAAAGCGGCUCACUGGACCGCAACUGACGCUGAGGCGCGAAAGCUAGGGGAGCAAACAGG
rnacentral:rRNA from 1 species